GAGGCGAACCGGGGGAACUGAAACAUCUAAGUACCCCGAGGAAAAGAAAUCAACCGAGAUUCCGAAAGUAGCGGCGAGCGAAAUUGGACUAGCCCUUAAGCUUUACACGCGUUAGACGAACGGUCUGGAAAGUCCGACGAUACAGGGUGAUAGUCCCGUAGUUGACGACGUGUGUUCAGUGAAAUCGAGUAGGGCGGGACACGUGAUAUCCUGUCUGAAUAUGGGGGGACCAUCCUCCAAGGCUAAAUACUACUGACUGACCGAUAGUGAACCAGUACCGUGAGGGAAAGGCGAAAAGAACCCUUGUCCUGUGACUGCGUACCUUUUGUAUAAUGGGUCAGCGACUUAUAUUCAGUGGCAAGGUUAACCAUCUAGGGGAGCCGUAGGGAAACCGAGUCUUAACUGGGCGUUCAGUCUCUGGAUAUAGACCCGAAACCAGGUGAUCUAGCCAUGGGCAGGUUGAAGGUUGAGUAACAUCAACUGGAGGACCGAACCGACUAAUGUUGAAAAAUUAGCGGAUGACUUGUGGCUAGGGGUGAAAGGCCAAUCAAACCUGGAGAUAGCUGGUUCUCCCCGAAAGCUAUUUAGGUAGCGCCUCGGACGAAUACUACUGGGGGUAGAGCACUGUUAAGGCUAGGGGGUCAUCCCGACUUACCAACCCUUUGCAAACUCCGAAUACCAGUAAGUACUAUCCGGGAGACACACGGCGGGUGCUAACGUCCGUCGUGGAGAGGGAAACAACCCAGACCGCCAGCUAAGGUCCCAAAUUACUACUAAGUGGGAAACGAUGUGGGAAGGCUCAGACAGCCAGGAUGUUGGCUUAGAAGCAGCCAUCAUUUAAAGAAAGCGUAAUAGCUCACUGGUCGAGUCGGCCUGCGCGGAAGAUGUAACGGGGCUAAGUAGUAAACCGAAGCUGCGGCAAUAUACUUUUGUAUAUUGGGUAGGGGAGCGUUCUGUAAGCGGUUGAAGGUGUGUGGUAACGCAUGCUGGACGUAUCAGAAGUGCGAAUGCUGACAUGAGUAACGAUAAAGGGGGUGAAAAACCUCCUCGCCGGAAGACCAAGGGUUCCUGUCCAACGUUAAUCGGGGCAGGGUAAGUCGACCCCUAAGGCGAGGCCGAAAGGCGUAGUCGAUGGGAAACGGGUUAAUAUUCCCGUACUUCUUACAAUUGCGAUGGGGGGACGGAGAAGGCUAGGUGGGCCUGGCGACGGUUGUCCAGGUUC
rnacentral:rRNA from 1 species